CGAGCAGUCAGUCCGAAACCCUACGGCGGCGAGCGCACCUCCCUCCGGCGAUCCCCUUCCACCGUCAAUUUGAUCCCUGAAUGAUCCUCUUACCCUUUCAUAUCCAAAAGAUUUACUCAUGUCGGAAUAGGACCGUGGCACAAAUCUCCCUGUUUCAGACAACAAAACGACGGCUCUGGACAGUUCUACACCAUUGGGGAAAAACGAGGCUACAGUCAUUAUUCAUCAUGGAGAUUAUUAUGAUAAAGGUGAAGAAGGUGCUACCUCAGAUAAUAUGGAUCCUUCCCGCUCUUUUCUGGUUCUCAGAAAAAAAUUCGUUUUCGAGGUUGUCAUUUCUGGUUGCUUGUGUGAUUGAGUCGUCGACUUGUCUGGUGUGCGGUCUUGAGGCCGGCGUGGAUGUUGGAGUGACGACUUUGGAUCUGGUUAUAGAGUGUCAGCUUUGUUUAUUCGGGUGGUGCAGCCGGUGGCUCGCGUGGUCCGCAGCCUUGGGGCAGGUGUGUAUGUUGAUGAUGUAUUGGUUUUCUGCCAGCUUUACUUACUAACUGGCUAAUUCUUAUUCUUUUUAAUAAAAUAAAAAGGCAGAGCUUCUGUCGGUUGCUCGAAAAAAAUGUAGUACCACUAUGGUAAGGGUGCAAUAUGUAUAAUCACUAUAGGAAGCCCAUAUGCAUCUCGGCAAACGCUUUGCCGAGUGCUGCACUUGGCGACGGCAGCUCGGGAUAACCCAUGUCGGCAAAGGGACGUACGCCGAGAUCCUUUUCAAUCAAGGUCUGAGGAUGAAUCAUUCUAUGUUUUACAAUUUAUAUGGUAUCAGUGUUGUACUUUAUUUUUUGAG